rnacentral:rRNA from 1 species
AUUGAACGCUGGCGGCAGGCUUAACACAUGCAAGUCGAACGAUGACUAACUAGCUUGCUAGUUAUGAUUAGUGGCGGACGGGUGAGUAACAUUUAGGAAUCUGCCUAGUAGUGGGGGAUAGCUCGGGGAAACUCGAAUUAAUACCGCAUACGACCUACGGGUGAAAGGGGGCGCAAGCUCUUGCUAUUAGAUGAGCCUAAAUCAGAUUAGCUAGUUGGUGGGGUAAAGGCCCACCAAGGCGACGAUCUGUAACUGGUCUGAGAGGAUGAUCAGUCACACCGGAACUGAGACACGGUCCGGACUCCUACGGGAGGCAGCAGUGGGGAAUAUUGGACAAUGGGGGCAACCCUGAUCCAGCCAUGCCGCGUGUGUGAAGAAGGCCUUUUGGUUGUAAAGCACUUUAAGCAGGGAGGAGAGGCUAAUGGUUAAUACCCAUUAGAUUAGACGUUACCUGCAGAAUAAGCACCGGCUAACUCUGUGCCAGCAGCCGCGGUAAUACAGAGGGUGCGAGCGUUAAUCGGAAUUACUGGGCGUAAAGCGAGUGUAGGUGGCUCAUUAAGUCACAUGUGAAAUCCCCGGGCUUAACCUGGGAACUGCAUGUGAUACUGGUGGUGCUAGAAUACGUGAGAGGGAAGUAGAAUUCCAGGUGUAGCGGUGAAAUGCGUAGAGAUCUGGAGGAAUACCGAUGACGAAGGCAGCUUCCUGGCAUAAUAUUGACACUGAGAUUCGAAAGCGUGGGUAGCAAACAGGAUUAGAUACCCUGGUAGUCCACGCCGUAAACGAUGUCUACUAGCCGUUGGGGUCCUUGAGACUUUAGUGGCGCAGUUAACGCGAUAAGUAGACCGCCUGGGGAGUACGGCCGCAAGGUUAAAACUCAAAUGAAUUGACGGGGGCCCGCACAAGCGGUGGAGCAUGUGGUUUAAUUCGAUGCAACGCGAAGAACCUUACCUGGUCUUGACAUAGUGAGAAUCCUGCAGAGAUGCGGGAGUGCCUUCGGGAAUUCACAUACAGGUGCUGCAUGGCUGUCGUCAGCUCGUGUCGUGAGAUGUUGGGUUAAGUCCCGCAACGAGCGCAACCCUUUUCCUUAUUUGCCAGCGGGUUAAGCCGGGAACUUUAAGGAUACUGCCAGUGACAAACUGGAGGAAGGCGGGGACGACGUCAAGUCAUCAUGGCCCUUACGACCAGGGCUACACACGUGCUACAAUGGUAGGUACAGAGGGUUGCUACACAGCGAUGUGAUGCUAAUCUCAAAAAGCCUAUCGUAGUCCGGAUUGGAGUCUGCAACUCGACUCCAUGAAGUCGGAAUCGCUAGUAAUCGCAGAUCAGAAUGCUGCGGUGAAUACGUUCCCGGGCCU